GGGGGGACGGAGAAGGCUAUGUUGGCCGGGCGACGGUUGUCCCGGUUUAAGCGUGUAGGUGUGUGUUCCAGGUAAAUCCGGUUCACUUUAACACUGAGGCGUGACGACGAGGCACUACGGUGCUGAAGCAACAAAUGCCCUGCUUCCAGGAAAAGCCUCUAAGCAUCAGGUAACAUCAAAUCGUACCCCAAACCGACACAGGUGGUCAGGUAGAGAAUACCAAGGCGCUUGAGAGAACUCGGGUGAAGGAACUAGGCAAAAUGGUGCCGUAACUUCGGGAGAAGGCACGCUGACACGUAGGUGAAGUGAUUUACUCAUGGAGCUGAAGUCAGUCGAAGAUACCAGCUGGCUGCAACUGUUUAUUAAAAACACAGCACUGUGCAAACACGAAAGUGGACGUAUACGGUGUGACGCCUGCCCGGUGCCGGAAGGUUAAUUGAUGGGGUCAGCGCAAGCGAAGCUCCUGAUCGAAGCCCCGGUAAACGGCGGCCGUAACUAUAACGGUCCUAAGGUAGCGAAAUUCCUUGUCGGGUAAGUUCCGACCUGCACGAAUGGCGUAAUGAUGGCCAGGCUGUCUCCACCCGAGACUCAGUGAAAUUGAACUCGCUGUGAAGAUGCAGUGUACCCGCGGCAAGACGGAAAGACCCCGUGAACCUUUACUAUAGCUUGACACUGAACAUUGAGCCUUGAUGUGUAGGAUAGGUGGGAGGCUUUGAAGUGUGGACGCCAGUCUGCAUGGAGCCGACCUUGAAAUACCACCCUUUAAUGUUUGAUGUUCUAACGUGGACCCGUUACCCGGGUUGCGGACAGUGUCUGGUGGGUAGUUUGACUGGGGCGGUCUCCUCCUAAAGAGUAACGGAGGAGCACGAAGGUUGGCUAAUCCUGGUCGGACAUCAGGAGGUUAGUGCAAUGGCAUAAGCCAGCUUGACUGCGAGCGUGACGGCGCGAGCAGGUGCGAAAGCAGGUCAUAGUGAUCCGGUGGUUCUGAAUGGAAGGGCCAUCGCUCAACGGAUAAAAGGUACUCCGGGGAUAACAGGCUGAUACCGCCCAAGAGUUCAUAUCGACGGCGGUGUUUGGCACCUCGAUGUCGGCUCAUCACAUCCUGGGGCUGAAGUAGGUCCCAAGGGUAUGGCUGUUCGCCAUUUAAAGUGGUACGCGAGCUGGGUUUAGAACGUCGUGAGACAGUUCGGUCCCUAUCUGCCGUGGGCGCUGGAGAACUGAGGGGGGCUGCUCCUAGUACGAGAGGACCGGAGUGGACGCAUCACUGGUGUUCGGGUUGUCAUGCCAAUGGCACUGCCCGGUAGCUAAAUGCGGAAGAGAUAAGUGCUGAAAGCAUCUAAGCACGAAACUUGCCCCGAGAUGAGUUCUCCCUGAGACUUUAGGUCUCCUGAAGGAACGUUGAAGACGACGACGUUGAUAGGCCGGGUGUGUAAGCGCAGCGAUGCGUUGAGCUAACCGGUACUAAUGAACCGUGAGGCUUAACCUUACAACGCCGAAGAUGUUUUGGCGGAUGAGAGACGAUUUUCAGCACUGAUUCNNNNNNNNNNNNNNNNNNNNAGAAUUUGUCUGGCGGCAGUAGCGCGGUGGUCCCACCUGACCCCAUGCCGAACUCAGAAGUGAAACGCCGUAGCGCCGAUGGUAGUGUGGGGUCUCCCCAUGCGAGAGUAGGGAACUGCCAGGCAUCAAAU
rnacentral:rRNA from 1 species